GACGAACGCUGGCGGCGUGCUUAACACAUGCAAGUCGAACGGAAAGGCCCUGCUUUUGUGGGGUGCUCGAGUGGCGAACGGGUGAGUAACACGUGAGUAACCUGUCCUUGACUUUGGGAUAACUUCAGGAAACUGGGGCUAAUACCGGAUAGGAGCUCCUGCUGCAUGGUGGGGGUUGGAAAGUUUCGGCGGUUGGGGAUGGACUCGCGGCUUAUCAGCUUGUUGGUGGGGUAGUGGCUUACCAAGGCUUUGACGGGUAGCCGGCCUGCGAGGGUGACUGGCCACAUUGGGACUGAGAUACGGCCCAGACGCCUACGGGAGGCAGCAGUGGGGAAUAUUGCACAAUGGGCGGAAGCCUGAUGCGGCAACGCCGCGUGCGGGAAGACGGCCUUCGAGUUGUAAACCGCUUUCGCCUGUGACGAAGCGUGAGUGACGGUAAUGGGUAAAGAAGCACCGGCUAACUACGUG
rnacentral:rRNA from 1 species